rnacentral:rRNA from 1 species
AACGAACGCUGGCGGCAUGCCUAACACAUGCAAGUCGAACGAGACCUUCGGGUCUAGUGGCGCACGGUUGCGUAACGCGUGGGAAUCUGCCCUUGGGUUCGGCAUAACAGUUGGAAACGACUGCUAAUACCGGAUGAUGACGUAAGUCCAAAGAUUUAUCGCCCAGGGAUGAGCCCGCGUAGGAUUAGCUCGUUGGUGGGGUAAAGGCCUACCACGGCGACGAUCCUUAGCUGGUCUGAGAGGAUGAUCAGCCACACUGGGACUGAGACACGGCCCAGACUCCUACGGGAGGAAGCAGUGGGGAAUAGUGGACAAGGGGCGAAAGCCUGAUCCAGCAAGGCCGCGUGAGUGAUGAAGGCCUUAGGGUUGUAAAGCUCUUUUACCCGGGAUGAUAAUGACAGUACCGGGAGAAUAAGCCCCGGCUAACUCCGUG